rnacentral:lncRNA from 1 species
AUUUCCUUCCCCCUUUGGAUGCAACAAUUCACACACCCCCCAUAUUUUGCCGAGAGAGAGAGAGAGAGAGAGAGAGAGAGAGAGAGCAAUGGAGGAAUUCUGUGGGGCACCGUCUUAGAAAUAGCUGUUGGUAGAAAUAGCUGUAGCGCUCCAGUUCAGGAGGUUGGGCUAUAGCGCUACAGCGCUAUAGCAGCGGCCUCUAAGUAUGUUUUCACUCCCAUGGUUCACCACCCAGCUAGGAGAAAGUGUGGUCAGGUUUGGGUGGGCGGAAUAAAGAACAGUUCUGCCUGGCAUUUUGUUUCAAAGCGGAUCCAGGAGUUGGAGAGCCAGGCCCGUUUGUUCCAGGCAGAGAAGAGGGUGGCGGUGGAAGAACUCCGGGAGCAGCUACAGAAGGAGAAAGAACAGGCCCUGAGACACCUCCGGGAUGACCUGGAACAGGAAAGGGUGCAAGACAUGGAGCGGAUGAGAGCGAAGCUGCAAGAGGCCGAGGAACAGCAGGGGAUUCUACGGGCCGAGGAGAGAAAGUCCGGCGCUGAAUGGGCAGAACGCUCGCUGGCCAUGGAGGUCGCCUCCAUGGCCCGGCAACUCCAGGACCUGCUUCCCCGGAAGGCUGGCAGGCUUAGCUUCUCCCAGGGGCCACACAGUUUGUCUUUCCCAAGGAGUCCGGCUGUCUUCUCCUCUGGCCACACGCUCCGGGCCGUGCGGGAAAUUUGCCAAGACACGCAGCGCUACCUCCAGGAGCUGAGACACGAGGCAGAGAUGCAGAAGCACGAAAUCCUUCCGGUCCAGAAGGAGAAGGGCCAGAUCCGAGAGCUGCGGGCAGAGAAGGCUGGGUACCACGGAGGCAGCCCGGACCACCUCAGCGUGUUCCGGGAGGAUCUGGCCAACACAGACACAGAAGCAAAAGGCAACAGACUCUGGGCACCUCGCCCUCUCCACUGCAUGGGAAAAGCUCCUGGAAUUAGAACCCUUGCUGGUAGCGGAGGAGAGUAA